ACCAUUCUGUUUAUUUGUUUUGUUUUGUGUGCGCAGGUUUUCACAUUUUUCGCUGACCAACGUUUCCAGCCAGACGUCAGCUACGAGUACAACGUCCCAGUGUCAGACGUCAGGACGUACGAGUGGAGAACGACCAAUACCGACUGUAACGUACAGUGUGGCGGAGGCAACUAUUUGGUUGAAAUUCUGUGCCACAGAAUCAGUGA
rnacentral:sRNA from 1 species